rnacentral:rRNA from 1 species
ACGCUGGCGGCAUGCUUUACACAUGCAAGUCGGACGGCAGCACAGAGAAGCUUGCUUCUUGGGUGGCGAGUGGCGAACGGGUGAGUAACGCAUCGGAACGUACCGAGUAAUGGGGGAUAACUGUCCGAAAGGACAGCUAAUACCGCAUACGCCCUGAGGGGGAAAGCGGGGGAUCUUAGGACCUCGCGUUAUUCGAGCGGCCGAUGUCUGAUUAGCUGGUUGGCGGGGUAAAGGCCCACCAAGGCGACGAUCAGUAGCGGGUCUGAGAGGAUGAUCCGCCACACUGGGACUGAGACACGGCCCAGACUCCUACGGGAGGCAGCAGUGGGGAAUUUUGGACAAUGGGCGCAAGCCUGAUCCAGCCAUGCCGCGUGUCUGAAGAAGGCCUUCGGGUUGUAAAGGACUUUUGUCAGGGAAAAAAGGGGCAUGUUAAUACCGUGCUCUGAUGACGGUACCUGAAGAAUAAGCACCGGCUAACUACGUGCCAGCAGCCGCGGUAAUACGUAGGGUGCGAGCGUUAAUCGGAAUUACUGGGCGUAAAGCGGGCGCAGACGGUUACUUAAGCGGGAUGUGAAAUCCCCGGGCUCAACCCGGGAACUGCGUUCCGAACUGGGUGGCUAGAGUGUGUCAGAGGGGGGUAGAAUUCCACGUGUAGCAGUGAAAUGCGUAGAGAUGUGGAGGAAUACCGAUGGCGAAGGCAGCCCCCUGGGAUAACACUGACGUUCAUGCCCGAAAGCGUGGGUAGCAAACAGGAUUAGAUACCCUGGUAGUCCACGCCCUAAACGAUGUCAAUUAGCUGUUGGGGCACUUGAUGCUUAGUAGCGUAGCUAACGCGUGAAAUUGACCGCCUUGGGGAGUACGGUCGCAAGAUUAAAACUCAAAGGAAUUGACGGGGACCCGCACAAGCGGUGG